UUUCCACUUAAGAUAUCCAGUUAUAAUAAGAAAAGAAAAAUGGAGUAUGUUAUAAAAGUUGAUAGCCAGAUUCAACUUAAUCUUGAAAAGUCUCAGAUGGUGUUUGUAAUGGAACUAAAAAGAGCUUCAGUUUUCUUGAUAAUGAUGCUGUAGUGUCAGAUGGAGGAAGUGGAUUUCGUGGUGAGUCUAUUUCCAGAGUUCAAAUUCAAGAAAUUUUAUCAACCUCCUGGGAUUUUUUUUCAAGAAAAAAAAAUCAUCUUGAUUUUUGUGCCUGGCUGGCAGGCAAGCUUUCUUCUCUUCAGUCAUCUACUAUCUAACUUUUCUAAAUGAAGAUUGCCAAAUGGAAAGAAAACAUAGCAGGUUGUUAGAGGAGAAUCCAGGUGGGCAUUAGGAAAGCUUCUUCAACAAUAAGAAUCAAAACUACUACAAGGCUUAUUCUAACAGGGGUGCAGCUCGUGCAUUUGGAACAGUUAGCGGAGAAUCCAGGUGGACAUUAGGAAAGCUUCUUCAACAAUAAGAAUCAAAACUACUACAAGGCUUAUUCUAACAGGGGUGCAGCUCGUGCAUUUGGAACAGUUAGCCUUUUGAAUGAUGAGAAUGAAUGCUAAGUCUGGAAGUCAUGGAAUUCAUUCUAUGGCUAAAUUCAAAAGAUAUUUCAUAUAUACUAUUAUUCUAUUCCACAA